rnacentral:lncRNA from 1 species
GAGCUGGGCUCGCUGAAGCCAGCGGCGGCAGUGAGCCGGGCCUUCCGCCCUCGCCUCUCCGAAGUCAGCAGCCGCUUCCCUGCCGGGAUUAGAACCCGGAUGUUACCCCCAUUGCUCAGGGGGUGUCCAGUCUAGCGCCCGCUCGCCGCCCCCGGCGGAGAAGGCGCGCCCUGCCCGCCCUGGUUCCCACGGCCCGCGGCCUCUGCUGUUUCCUGCCCUGUGUGAGUGUUACCCCCCGUGUCUGCACCGAUUUCCCUGGGGGAUCCGUCCUGCGACCCGCGGCCCUUCGAGGGCCGGUCGCCCGCCCCCUUCCCCUCGCCCAGUCCCCCAUCCUGAAGCAAUUUCCUCAGGGACUGCCGCUGGCCUCGGAGGGUCCCUGGGCCUUACUGCCAGGCUCUCAGGCGGCUUGGAGAGGCGUCCCCGCGGGGGUACUAGGGCAUGGCUGCAGGUCCUGGUGGGCUGAGCAGCCCCUCAGGCCGGGUAGGGGAGGGCGGGCGCUGCGAGUGGGGGGCGGCUGGAGAGGAGCAGUGGGAGCUGGAGCCCCUGGCGCUGGACUUGUCACCUAAAGCAGCCAAGGCAGGCUCCAGCAGGGACCAGACCCAGGCUGCGGCGCUGGCCAGAGAAACACCAACACAAGGUCGCGCUCAGGCCUCGGAACCCCUCGAACCCCUUGCCAGGAUCCUCCCAGUUCAGCCGGGUCAGGGCUGAAGCCUGGGGGAUACCGUGACCCCCACCAAGCAGCCCCAGCUGCAGGUACAGCCCCUUCCCGACCCCCACUCCAGCCUGGAGGCUGCCAGGGACCCAAGGUGAGGAAGGCCCAGCCUCAGGGGUGGGGGGUGGGGGCUACCCCAGCUCCCUCAGGCCCUCAGGCCCCCACCACGCUCCCUCCCUCAGCUCCAGAGGUGAUUAACGUCUCGGAACCCUGGCCCCUGCUGGGCCAGGACACCCUACACACUCUGGGACUGCACACUUGCCAGGGCCUGGGGAAGGAGGGCAGGUGCCUUGGGGGAGAGGGCCCGGCCAUACUGUCUCCUCUCUGCCAUUCCCCGGGGCCCUGGGGGGUGGGAGGCCUACAGCUCAGGGCCUGCCAGGGAGGGGUAGGCCAGAGAUCAAAGAUCACCAGGGAGACAGCUGAGGGGCCCACACACCCAGGACCCUCUCUCAGAACAGCCCCAGCAGCUGGCGAAGGGGGAAAGAGGAAGGCUGUCCCCAAGGCCAUGGCCCUGGCCGAGGCUGGGUCCUGGCCUGGCCAGGCCCUGCCCCCGCGUGGUGAGACUUAGACCUGACGGAGAGCGGUCCAGCCUCAGGAAGUCCUGAGGAGCAAAAGCACGCAGGGGGACCACAGACCAGGUCCUCCUGGGCGCCCAGCCCUGAUCCCGCCCCGCCCCCAGUAUCUGGAGAUUUGGGGAAACAGGCUGGGCACAGGGAGAAUCAGCGGCUGUUUUCGUUUCAAUGGUCCCGAAAGGUUUAAAGGCACUUUUCAAGCUGAGCAAAGCUUUGGGGAUUCAUGUGGCUGGUAGAGGCCAAGCUGGGGAACCCCGCACUGCUAGGGGGUCAGGUUGCCCCGUCCCUGUUGCCCUCCUCGGGGCUCCUGGCUCUGUUGGGUCGGCUGAGGCUGCGGAGGCAUGGGCUGACUGCACAGAGGUGCUCUACGUGCUGUGGGGUUUGGGAACAGACUUGUCGCUGGGGUUUGGGGGACAGACAGACAGAUGGGAAAGGGGCCUUUCACCACCACUUCAGCUCGGCGCUCAGCCCACUCCCAGCCUUUCCCGCAAGCAGGGAGCUGCAGCAGGAGACCCAAGAUCAGAUGAACUCCUUUGGGAAAGGGCUGGGCUCAGGAGAGAGAGAGAGUGAGGUUGGUCCUUCAGGGGCGGGGGGAGCUGUAAUAAGCCUCCUUGAGGGCAGUGGGUUGGUCCCCAGCCCCGAGGCUCUCCAAAGAACCACACUGAGACAUCAUGCACUCCCCGUGUCCACACUGCAGGGCUAGAGGGUUCCUUUGCUCGCCAGGAAGGGGUGCAGGGUCAGAGCCCUCCAGCUGCCCUGCCCAGGCCCUCGGAUCCAGGGAGCCCCUCUGUGAACUUCCAGGCGGGGAGGUGGGAGCAGGCAGCCGAUGGGCCAGAUGCACUGACCCACUGGGCGGCUUCCCGCUGCCCUUCUCCCCCGCUGCGCCCCCUUGGCCACCGGCUUCGGGCACUCAGUCUCCCACUCUGCAGGAUUCCUGGUCGAAUUUUGUUCACCCUCCAGUUCCUGCUCAGAAAGGAGUAGUUAAGAGAAUAAAAGCUCCCUUAGUUUACCCCAGGGCUCCUCUCUGAGGCCCGGAGAGGCUCCGAACAGGUCCAGACCACCAGUCCUUGUCCCACCCCCAACUUGGGGCCUGAGUCAGGUGGGGACAAGGGUCUCCCUCUGCGGGCAGAUUCUGCCCUGAACUAGGUGGAUGUGGCUCCCAGCAGAGCAACAGAAGGAGACCCCGAGGGAUGCUUGGGGACAAGCCGGCUUGGUUCCUACCGCACAGAGAGGGACGGGGAGAUGGGAGAUGGUCCCGGCGCCCAGCCUUGGAGCCAGCGGGGACUACGGACGGCGGAGGUCUCCAGCCUGGGGUGAACAGCAGGGUUCGGUCUCGCAAGGGGUGGGGGCGCAGACAACCCGCAGAGCCCUCUCCUCCCCAGCCUGGCCUCCGCUCUGGCCCACAGCCGCUGCUGCCCCCCACACCAUGCCGCAGCUCCGGUCACAGGAGCCUCCCUGGACUCUGGGGUUAAUAUUUCAGGCCCCCUUUUGCCCCUUGUCCUACCCCAGGCCCAGCGACACUCACAGUGACCCAGAUACCUUUGGAGGACAAAAGGACACAGGCCCUCAUUUCUGGCCCAGUGAGUUCAGAGGCCACGUGGCAAGGCUGCUCCCUACGCAGAUCAGAGUGAAGGCCUUCCCACACCCACACCCCUGCCCAGGUUCUCGAGUGGCUUCAAGAGAGGCUUGGGGACGCUCCCGACCAUGACUCCCCAGGAAUGCGAACCGUGUAGCCGAUGUCGCACAAACCCCAGAUGUAGGAAAGCCUCCUUCCUUCUGGGAGGGAGGAAGCACUCUCCUGAGCGGGCAGCCUCCUGGGAGGGCCCGUGACUUCUCUGCCCGAAUCUGCAUCCUGGCUGGGCCGUCUCCCAGGAGCACAGGUACCUGUGAGUCCGCACUUGGGGGCUGCUUGUGCUUGGGGUGGGGGUGGGGGUGUAAUCGCGAGUGUUGUUUUCUUUUUUUAAUUUAAGAGAUUGAGGCGGUGGGCUUGAACUCCCUCCUUUGAGCCAGGUGAGAGUUGGCCCCCAUAUCCCAGCGGAACCAGCACCCCGGGAAGCGCAGGAAGGUCCAGCAAGCCCUUCCCCGGCCUCGGGAACAGUGGGCCGGGCUCAGCGGCUGAGUCGCGGCUACAGCAGCCACGCGCGGGAUCCAGCCGCGGAGAGGAGCAAACGGAAUCGGUUUCCCACGCUGUCCCUCUCCCUCCCCGAACCUUUUAAAACCUGCUCACGAAGUCCGGCGCCCAGUUUUCGCCCCUCUUGAGCCUGGCGUUCACGCGGUGCCCCAGUCACCAGCGCCGCCCGAGGAGGGGACCCUCGGCCGCCCGCACUCCCUGCCACCCGCCCGCGCACGCAGGGAGCAACUUGGUUCCCCUGAGCAUCCUGGCCCCGCGGCCUGGGCAGGGCUCCGCGCGGCAGAGGUGGCACCGUGGUCGCUCCGGAACGCCGCCCGCGUGGAUGCGACGGCCUCCUCCCGCUCCCGGUUCCGGCUCCCGGCCGGCGGGUCCCCGACAACAACGAACACGGCGAGCCGCCUGGCCUCCCCGGCUUCCGAGUCCCGGGGAUCUCUGGGUGGGAGCUCGCCCUCCCGGUCCCCAGGGGCGCCAGAGCGGAGCACACCGCCAGGCCGCCCGGGAACCGAGCGGACUCCCCACACCGGCUCGCCUUCGGAUCCACACCUCGUCUGCCGCGUCCUCGGGACUUGGUUCCGGUCCCCACCCCGCCGACCCCUUUAGUUCGGAAACCAAAUUUCGUUUUUGGUCCCCGGCUCCUCCGCAGGGGUCGCCGUGGAGAAGCUGCCACGGAGGGUUUCCGCUCCAAGCCUCAACUUGCCCAUCUGUGAACAGGGCCAGGUACUGCUUGCUGAGCCCCGCUCAGGGUUGAUGGGGGCUUGGCUGGGAGAGGGGACGAUGGGGAAUGCCCGACAGAGCCAGCGCUGCCCACCUUUCGGGCCCCAUCGUGCAGGCGGGGUUCAGAGGUGGUGCCCAGACCACAAGGGGCCCAAAGCUGCUCCUGAGCAAUCACCACCCUCCCUGCCCUUCCCCCACCCAACCCUGGAGGGAGCGUGAGGGAGGAGGUGCGAGGGUCCAGAUUGGCGCCCAGGGCCUCUCCGCCCCAGGACGGGCUUUUGCUGGCCUCAGGCUCUUGUCUCAGGUUCCACUGGGGCACUGAGGAGGGAGGUUUAACCCAACACGCCCCAGCUCUCGGGGUGGCACCACCGGCACCCCACAUCUCUCAGAGGGUGGGUGCCUGAGCUGGGAGGGGGGACAGGCAGGCCACAGAAGCCCGGGUUCCAGCUGGGCCCCAGGAAGGGAAUGGGCCCCGCCCUCCUCCUCCCCAAGCCUCCAGCCGGGUGGGGGGCAUGCCUGGGCAGGGCCCUGAGGAGGGGCCCUGGGGCUUGACCCUGAGCUUAGAGACCGCCUGAAACUGCCCCCCUGGGUGGUGAGGAGGGGAUGGGGGAGCCAGGGGAGGGGCACGGCCUAUUCACACCAUCCAGGCUGCCCUCUGCUUCUGGGCCCGACCAACGGGGGAGGAGAAUCAUUGGGGGGGGGAGUGCCAAAUGGACACACCCUCCCCAGGUCCCUUUACUUGCUCCUGAACCAGUAAUGGAGGUGGCUUUCUGAACCAGCAAGAAAGGGCAGAGACCAGACCGCCCCAGGCAGGGAAGAAAUUACCUCUUGUGCUGAGUGACCCGAAGCUGAUGGAAUCAGUCAGGGGUUCCUGUCCCCUGGGGCAAGGCCACCUGCUCCUGUUCCCAGCGCCCAGCCCACGACUCUGGGGCUAUCAGAGGGAGCAGGGCAUAGGCAGUUCUGGGCUCUGCUGCCAGGGCUUUGCCACCUCCGGACGGCGGGGCUCCCUCCCCCAUCCCCCACCCUCCCUCUCUCAUCAGGCAAGGUUCCCAGGUGACAGGCCAGCGAUGAGAGUGGCAGGGACUCACCUACACAGGGCCCUGCAGCUCGGGCAGGUCAAGGGACCUCACUGAGGACCAACCGUGUGCAGGGACGGCGGGCAAGGGCAAUGCUGGCAGUUCUGUCCUGGGCAGCCCUUCUGAUGAUGAAUUACAGUGAGGGGGCAUGUUGGGUGGGGGGCGGCAGAGGGCUUGAAGGGCACUGUGCCCACUCACACAGCAUCCCUCCCCUGCUCCCGCCCCAGGCAGGCAGAUGGCUUGGGGGUUGGGGGGAGGGGACAGGAGGAGCUGAGCCUAGUCAGAGCCCACUGCUUCCCCAUUCACCUGGGGCCCUCGGUCAGCCCCCCACCCCAGCUUUCUAGGCACCCCCAUUUCCUUUUAUAUAAUCCAGAGGUAGACUAGCAGCUUUGGUGGGGACAGCUGCCUGCAGGUGCAGGGCCUGGCACCUCCUAGGAGCUCUGUGGGUUGUUAAAGCGGGGAUGAAACCCCCCCCCACCGAGGCAGGGGGUCCCAGGACCUCUGACCCCUCCUCUCCUGGAAGCAAGGCCCCUUGCCUGGAGGGCAGCCCCCUGCUUCCCUGUAGCACACAGAGGCAAGUCGGGCCAGGAAGGAGGACGGGGCUCCUGGGAGCUGUGUGUCCCGUUCCUCUGCAGAUCCCAACCUCCCAGAGUCGGGCCCCACCCUCCUGACCUGGUCAGACUGGAGGCUGUCCGAGGGCUGGCUGGUCUCCUGGCAUCUGCCAGCAGGACUUCUCACGGGGCCAGCGCCUGCCCACUGAGAGGCCAGGGCCCUUAGAUCUUGCUGUAGACCUAACAUCAUUUGUUCCUUCGUCCAUGAAUGGACGAAGGGCCAGAGGCCUGGUCAUGGCCUGGACCUUCCACAGGGGAGCAGCGGAGCGUGAAGACCUGCGGCUUCCAGGGAAUCUCAUGGCCCCGCCCCACCCACCUCCCCACCAAGGGCCCCGUGCUCUGCCCAAGGCUGGGAGUGUGUUUGGUGCUCAGGGAAGGAAUAAUGAAUGAAGAGGCUGAGUGAGUAGAAAGUGACCUGGGGUGGGGGGGAGUCGCCAUUGUGGCGCAGAGAAAACGAAUCCGACUAGGAACCAUGAGGUUGCGGGUUUGAUCCCUGCCCUUGCUUAGCAGGUUAAGGAUCAGUCGUUGCCGUGAGCUCUGGUGUGGGUCGCAGACGCGGCUCAGAUUUGUGUUGCCGCGGCUGUGGUGCAGGCCGGCAGCUGUAGCUCCGAUUGGAUCCCUAGCUUGGGAACCUCCAUAUGCUGCGGGUGGGGCCCUGAAAAAACAAAAAG